GAGGAUCUGCCCAUCAAGUAGAGAGCCCGGCCACUUUUCUGUAGGGCUGCUGUGGUAUGCUGGGGGUCCCCUCCAGUCCCUAAUUGCCUUGUAUUUUCCACGGAAGAUGAUAGUCUGCCCCUUCCUCUGGAAGCUCUGUACCACUGAGGUACGAACCUGUUGCCAAUCUGAACACACCUAUAAGAUGUGGCUGGAGGCAAGUUGAGAAGUCUUACCUAGUCAGGACGAACGAGAACAGGGACUUGCUUCAAAAAAAAAAGUCUGGCCACAGAACAGCAGUCAAGGUAGCCAGAGACCCUGGUUGAAAGACUUCACCCGCUGACUAGAAAUGUGAUCAGGGACUGACGUAAACAAGAGUCUGGCCACGUUUUUGUAGCGUGGCUGUGCUGUGCUGAGGUACCUCUUCCACCCCUUGUCA
rnacentral:lncRNA from 1 species